rnacentral:rRNA from 1 species
AACGAACGCUGGCGGCAUGCCUAACACAUGCAAGUCGAACGAGACCUUCGGGUCUAGUGGCGCACGGGUGCGUAACGCGUGGGAAUCUGCCCUUGGGUUCGGGAUAACAGUUGGAAACGACUGGCUAAUACCGGAUGAUGACUUCGGUCCAAAGAUUUAUCGCCCAGGGAUGAGCCCGCGUAGGAUUAGCUUGUUGGUGA